rnacentral:rRNA from 1 species
CGGGGGGAGCAAGCGUUGUUCGGAUUUACUGGGCGUAAAGGGCGCGUAGGCGGCCACCGCAAGUCGACUGUGAAAUCUCCGGGCUUAACCCGGAAAGGUCAGCCGAUACUGCGGGGCUAGAGUGCAGAAGGGGCAACUGGAAUUCUCGGUGUAGCGGUGAAAUGCGUAGAUAUCGAGAGGAACACCUGCGGCGAAGGCGGGUUGCUGGGCUGACACUGACGCUGAGGCGCGAAAGCUAGGGGAGCGAACGGGAUUAGAUACCCCGGUAGUCCUAGCCUUAAACGAUGAAUGCUUAGUGUCUGGGGUUUUAUAGUCCCCGGGUGCCGUCGCUAACGCUUUAAGCAUUCCGCCCGGGGAGUACGGUCGCAAGACUG